CCCGGUGAUGAUAGCGGAGGGGUCACACCUGUUCCCAUUCCGAACACAGCAGUUAAGCCCUCCAGCGCCCAUGGUACUGCCCUGGUGACGGGGUGGGAGAGUAGGUCGUUGCCGGGA
rnacentral:rRNA from 1 species